rnacentral:lncRNA from 1 species
GCCUGGAGCAGGUGAGAAAACCAGAAAGAAGUAGUCUCAUACCUGGAAUUUCAUCCAGUAGCUGGAGUACCUGUCCUAUGUGGUAGAGGCUGUCCAGCCAUGCACCCCCUCUCUGGAUUUGGUACCCAGAGUCAAGAUCCCCAGGAGUAGGUGUGAGUGCUGACUCAUGUUGCACUGAACAUCCCAUCAUCAAAUCCCAGCUCCAUCUGCUCAUCCUGGUCCAAAGUGGAUGAUAAUCCCAUUGUUAAGACAUGUCUCAUUAAGACUUCUCUAAGAUGGAGCCAGCAAACAGCCCAGUAGCAUCGAGGCUGCUGCCUGGGAAAGAGUCCCCUCCUCUCCCCUGUUCAUUAAUGAUUAUGGGAGGUUUUAUUCCCCCCAACAAAAGUGUUAAUUAGACAUCAUUCGGAACAGGGAUAUUACACAAAUGAAUUAAACUCAAACCAAUCAACAA